rnacentral:antisense_RNA from 1 species
UUUUCAUUCAUUUAGUGAUGUCCCCUUUAUGCACUGCAGUGAAAAUAAAAAUGACUUUUACUCCCACCAUACUGCAGGGAGCUAUGACUCAUAUUUUUAGAAACUAAUCUUCCUGGGACUUUUCCACCUGUAUAUAUUUCUCCCAACCAGCUUGGAUUUUGAAUAAGGAACCUAGUUUUUUUGGCUUUACUAUUGAACAUUUUAAAUCAUAAACACUGAUUCCUCUACAUAAUUGCUUGUAAUUAUUAAAUAAAGCUGGACAAUUACCUAUGAAACAUAUUCUGUUUAUUUUCCCAGGAAUGUAGAGAAUAUACUGAAUUAAAAAAAUAAAUCCCUAGGGAAUAAUAGCAGGUAAACUUGUUGAGGGACAUGCGAAGAGGUAUUAUUGGGCUCCAAGGUUCAAGGCCUAAUCUGUAGCUACAGCACAUCAAGGAGGAAGGAAUUGGCUACAAAGAAGCACAAGGAAUCAUUUGGGGGUGACAGAAAUAUCCACUAUAUUGACUGGUGGUGGUCUCACAGUUGUAUGCAAAUGCAUUGAUUUGUAAUUUGUUUGUUUGUUUGUUUGUUUUUGAGACAGAGUUUCGCUCUUGUGGCCCAGUCUGGAGUGCAGUGGCGCCAUCUCAGCUCAUUGCAACCUCUGCCUCCCGGGUCCAAGCGACUCUCCUGCCUCAGCCUCCCGAGUAGCUGGGAUUACAGGCGUGAGCCACCCUGCCCGGCCAAUUUGUAAAUUUUUAAGACACGCCCUUUGUUGUACACAAAUUAGACUUCAAUAAAGUUAGCCUUAAAACAGAACACUGGAGGAAAGGAGAACUGGCUCAAAUUUUCUAUACUUUUCUCCUGUAACCACUUCUCAUUUCCUCCUUGAG